UACGUAGGGGGCAAGCGUUGUCCGGAUUUAUUGGGCGUAAAGAGCGUGUAGGCGGCUUUACAGGUCCGUUGUGAAAACUCGAGGCUCAACCUCGAGACGCCGGUGGAAACCGUAAAGCUAGAGUCCGGAAGAGGAGAGUGGAAUUCCUGGUGUAGCGGUGAAAUGCGCAGAUAUCAGGAGGAACACCCGUGGCGAGAGCGGCUCUCUGGGACGGUACUGACGCUGAGACGCGAAAGCGUGGGGAGCAAACAGG
rnacentral:rRNA from 1 species